rnacentral:snRNA from 1 species
GUGCUCACUUCGGCAGCACACAAACUAAAAUUGGAACGACACAGAAAGCGUUUGCAUGGUCCCUGCCGAGGAUGACAUGCAAAUUCUUGAAGCGUUCCACAUUUUA